GUUACGAGGGGUUGUGCCCCAUGCAGAACACGUACGCGCUCACACAUACAGGAAGAAACAACACUCACCACGCGGACAAGUUUAAAUUCACAGAAACGCACACACUGGCUGGCCGACGAAAAAAUGGCCGACAUCGGCACCCACGAUGACGUCGCGCUCGACAAAACGUUGCGGCCUAGUCAACGACAUAGCAAUGCCGAUGGGGACGGCAGCAACAGCUCGGUGCUCUCUGACAUGCACCUGUCUGACGGCUUCCCUCACGGCGACGCAGAGGGGGAGGAUGAGAUGGACAUCCGCGCCUCCCACGUGCACAUGGAGGCGCUCUACGUCGACUUGCCGGCGAAGCAGCUGCAGGUCAUCAUGCAUAGUGCCCUCCGAGCCUACAACACACACGUUUUCAUCCCGACGCGCACCACCUGGCGUAAGGAGGAAGGCGCGCGCCGCGAGCUGGAGCGGGACGUCGAGCGAACGGCACUGAGCCGUAUUGCGGAAUACAUCAAGAACGACAUCACCGCCAAGCUAGGUGGUUGCUGGCACGUCAUCUAUGGCCACGAUUUCGCCACUUUUGUGACGCACAAACGCUUAUGCUUUUGCCACUUUCAAAUAGAGGGUGCGGACGUGGUUGUGUGGCGUCAUGGAGGGUAGACGCAACGCGCGGGAAGUGGCACCACCUCGUUGCCUUCUCCUUUCCCCCGCCUCUCCUCCUCGGGAAGGUCUUCCUGUUCCUGGUGCCACUCUCCUCCGUGCUGUGCGCCUGGCUCUUGUUUCAGGGUUGGUGCCUCCAUCUUUCGUUUGGUGUGGUUGUGGUUGCUUGCUGAGGCCACGCGGUGAAGAAUGGGUGUGACGUGCUGACGCACGACAGAUGUAAGCUCCCUCCCCAAGAAAUACAAGAACAGACGACAGCGAAAGCAGCAGCAUCGAUGAAAAGCUGCACAGUGUCCACACGUGUGCGUCCAUUGCCCCGACACACACCAAAGAAAACAGAGGUGCCAAGCAAGACCGUGUUUUUGCUUUCUCCGCUGCGUUAGAGGGGUAGAGGAGGGGGGGGGGAGAGGAUGGAAAGGCAGUAAGGUGGCAAAAGACAGAGAGAGCGUCAAUGCAGCUGACAGGCAUGUCGCUCUCGUUUCUUCUUGCAGCAGCACACCACCAAGGCUCGCAUCAACCCAUGUGCUCCCUUCCUUUUUGUCUGUCCGUUCUCGAGGCCCACCGCACGUACGAUUAUGCGCUUGGGUGUGAUCUUGCGCGUGUGCGGGGGGGAGCGUAUUGUGCUUUUCGCGCUCUUUCUGCUUCCCUCCUCCCUCGCCUUGCAUGUAUGACCGUGUCUGCGUCGACACUUCCACCACCACGUUCUUCUCCUCUGCCCCCCCCCUCUGACCCUCACACCUAUGCUUUCAUGUGUGCGCCGAAUAAG
rnacentral:misc_RNA from 1 species